AAAAACCUCCUCCCCACAAAUCACACGAAAGUGGACACGGUGUUACCCAAAGUGUCCAUUAUUGGAAAGGGGGGGGGGAGUAAUGCCCCCUACUAGAAAGCCCCAGUGCAGGGCUGGGGCCACCCCCCGCGUUAAAACCAGCUCUUCAAGUGGUCGGGAUAAUUAUUGGCUUUAAGGUGCCGGGCCGGUUUUUAAGUUCCUGGAAAAUCAGGUGGCCUAACUAUCUUCUUGUAAAAUCUGUUUUUUAAAGGGGGGGGAAGGGCUGGGACUUUAGGGGGGGGGGAAAAUCUUAUAUCCCUUGGGGACCACCAUUGGCGAAGGCGUCAACUUGGAACGCGCCUGCCGGUGAGGAAAAACCCAGGGGAGGAAUCUGUUUUAAUUCCCCGGGUAGCCCUGCGGAAAGGGAGGGGAUGCCCCUCGCUCAUUUGGGGGGUUGGUGGAAGCUCAGGGGCCCAGGUAUGAAAGAAGACAACAUCAUUAUUUUAGGGGAAGGGAAUUCUUUUAACUCGAUUGCCCUUUAUAGGGUAAUUUUACUUUGGCAAAUCUGGCUAACCUGUUUUUGAAUUAA
rnacentral:rRNA from 1 species